UACGUAGGCAGCAAGCGUUGUUCGGAGUUACUGGGCGUAAAGGGUGUGUAGGCGGUUGUUUAAGUUUGGUGUGAAAUCUCCCGGCUCAACUGGGAGGGUGCGCCGAAUACUGAAUGACUUCGAGUGCGGGAGAGGAGAGUGGAAUUCCUGGUGUAGCGGUGAAAUGCGCAGAUAUCAGGAAGAACACCCGUGGCUAAGGCGGCUCUCUAGUACGGUACUGACGCUGAGACGCGAAAGCGUGGGGAGCGAACAGG
rnacentral:rRNA from 1 species